rnacentral:tRNA from 3 species
GCCGAGGUAGCCUAGCCCGGAUGAAGGCGAUAGACUCGAGAUCUAUUGUCCGCAAGGACUCGGGAGUUCAAAUCUCCCCCUCGGCG